GAUGAACGCUGGCGGCGUGCCUAAUACAUGCAAGUCGAGCGAACGGACGAGAAGCUUGCUUCUCUGAUGUUAGCGGCGGACGGGUGAGUAACACGUGGAUAACCUACCUAUAAGACUGGGAUAACUUCGGGAAACCGGAGCUAAUACCGGAUAAUAUUUUGAACCGCAUGGUUCAAAAGUGAAAGACGGUCUUGCUGUCACUUAUAGAUGGAUCCGCGCUGCAUUAGCUAGUUGGUAAGGUAACGGCUUACCAAGGCAACGAUGCAUAGCCGACCUGAGAGGGUGAUCGGCCACACUGGAACUGCGACACGGUCCAGACUCCUACGGGAGGCAGCAGUAGGGAAUCUUCCGCAAUGGGCGAAAGCCUGACGGAGCAACGCCGCGUGAGUGAUGAAGGUCUUCGGAUCGUAAAACUCUGUUAUUAGGGAAGAACAUAUGUGUAAGUAACUGUGCACAUCUUGACGGUACCUAAUCAGAAAGCCACGGCUGACUACGUGCCAGCAGCCGCGGUAAUACGUAGGUGGCAAGCGUUAUCCGGAAUUAUUGGGCGUAAAGCGCGCGUAGGCGGUUUUUUAAGUCUGAUGUGAAAGCCCACGGCUCAACCGUGGAGGGUCAUUGGAAACUGGAAAACUUGAGUGCAGAAGAGGAAAGUGGAAUUCCAUGUGUAGCGGUGAAAUGCGCAGAGAUAUGGAGGAACACCAGUGGCGAAGGCGACUUUCUGGUCUGUAACUGACGCUGAUGUGCGAAAGCGUGGGGAUCAAACAGGAUUAGAUACCCUGGUAGUCCACGCCGUAAACGAUGAGUGCUAAGUGUUAGGGGGUUUCCGCCCCUUAGUGCUGCAGCUAGCGCAUUAAGCACUCCGCCUGGGGAGUACGACCGCAAGGUUGAAACUCAAAGGAAUUGACGGGGACCCGCACAAGCGGUGGAGCAUGUGGUUUAAUUCGAAGCAACGCGAAGAACCUUACCAAAUCUUGACAUCCUUUGACAACUCUAGAGAUAGAGCCUUCCCCUUCGGGGGACAAAGUGACAGGUGGUGCAUGGUUGUCGUCAGCUCGUGUCGUGAGAUGUUGGGUUAAGUCCCGCAACGAGCGCAACCCUUAAGCUUAGUUGCCAUCAUUAAGUUGGGCACUCUAAGUUGACUGCCGGUGACAAACCGGAGGAAGGUGGGGAUGACGUCAAAUCAUCAUGCCCCUUAUGAUUUGGGCUACACACGUGCUACAAUGGACAAUACAAAGGGCAGCGAAACCGCGAGGUCAAGCAAAUCCCAUAAAGUUGUUCUCAGUUCGGAUUGUAGUCUGCAACUCGACUACAUGAAGCUGGAAUCGCUAGUAAUCGUAGAUCAGCAUGCUACGGUGAAUACGUUCCCGGGUCU
rnacentral:rRNA from 1 species